rfam:Gossypium arboreum cultivar AKA8401 contig_4305_9, whole genome shotgun sequence.
UGUUAAAAAUUUCAUUCAUUUAUACUUUUUAAAACUGGUGUAAUUGAUAAAAUAAUCAGACAAUAACAUAUAGCAUUCAUGUAUACCUUAUACUGACAUAAUGGAACUAAUUUUUAAGAGUAUAAAUAGAUUGCAUUUUUAAGA